AGAACGAACGCUGGCGGCAGGCCUAAUACAUGCAAGUCGAACGGAUCCUUCGGGAUUAGUGGCGGACGGGUGAGUAACACGUGGGAACGUACCCUUUGGUUCGGAACAACUCAGGGAAACUUGAGCUAAUACCGAAUGUGCCCUUCGGGGAAAAGAUUUAUCGCCAUUGGAGCGGCCCGCGUCUGAUUAGCUAGUUGGUAGGGUAAAGGCCUACCAAGGCUACGAUCAGUAGCUGGUCUGAGAGGAUGAUCAGCCACACUGGGACUGAGACACGGCCCAGACUCCUACGGGAGGCAGCAGUAGGGAAUCUUGCGCAAUGGGCGAAAGCCUGACGCAGCCAUGCCGCGUGAAUGAUGAAGGUCUUAGGAUUGUAAAAUUCUUUCAGCGGGGACGAUAAUGACGGUACCCGCAGAAGAAGCCCCGGCUAACUUCGCGCCAGCAGCCGC
rnacentral:rRNA from 1 species